rnacentral:rRNA from 1 species
GACGAACGCUGGCGGCGUGCCUAAUACAUGCAAGUCGAACGCCUUUUCUUUCACCGGAGCUUGCUCCACCGAAAGAAAAAGAGUGGCGAACGGGUGAGUAACACGUGGGUAACCUGCCCAUCAGAAGGGGAUAACACUUGGAAACAGGUGCUAAUACCGUAUAACACUAUUUUCCGCAUGGAAGAAAGUUGAAAGGCGCUUUUGCGUCACUGAUGGAUGGACCCGCGGUGCAUUAGCUAGUUGGUGAGGUAACGGCUCACCAAGGCAACGAUGCAUAGGCGACCUGAGAGGGUGAUCGGCAACACUGGGACUGAGACACGGCCCAGACUCCUACGGGAGGCAGCAGUAGGGAAUCUUCGGAAAUGGACGAAAGUCUGACCGAGCAACGCCUCGUGAGUGAAGAAGGUUUUCGGAUCGUAAAACUCUGUUGUUAGAGAAGAACAAGGAUGAGAGUAGAACGUUCAUCCCUUGACGGUAUCUAACCAGAAAGCCACGGCUAACUACGUGCCAGCCGCCGCAGUAA